GAUGAACGCUGGCGGCGUGCCUAAUACAUGCAAGUCGAGCGAACGGACGAGAAGCUUGCUUCUCUGAUGUUAGCGGCGGACGGGUGAGUAACACGUGGAUAACCUACCUAUAAGACUGGGAUAACUUCGGGAAACCGGAGCUAAUACCGGAUAAUAUUUUGAACCGCAUGGUUCAAAAGUGAAAGACGGUCUUGCUGUCACUUAUAGAUGGAUCCGCGCUGCAUUAGCUAGUUGGUAAGGUAACGGCUUACCAAGGCAACGAUGCAUAGCCGACCUGAGAGAGUGAUAGGCCACACUGGAACGGAGACACGGUCCAGACGCCUACGGGAGGCAGCAGUAGGGAAUCUUCCGCAAUGGGCGAAAGCCUGACGGAGCAACGCCGCGUGAGUGAUGAAGGUCUUCGGAUCGUAAAACUCUGUUAUUAGGGAAGAACAUAUGUGUAAGUAACUGUGCACAUCUUGACGGUACCUAAUCAGAAAGCCACGGCUAACUACGUG
rnacentral:rRNA from 1 species